CUUUUCUCUCAAAAAACCUAUAGAAAAUUGCAAAAGUACUCGAAAGCUAACAACUUUGUUGUUGAUCCAGCACGAGCAACUAUCUCAAUACCUGAAAAUAAGGGAAGAUGAAGAAGACGACGUUUGUUCCACAUGUUUCCAUGGUAAAACAAAGAAUAUAAAAAAACUGUACAAAAUUGAUUAAAAAACUUUGAUUUAAAAGAUUGGUUGUGUGGGUUAAUUCAGUUCAUAUUAUGACUGGAGACAGAGUACACUGAGGAUAAUCCGAAGAUAGUUCUGCAAUGUGGACAUAUCUUUCACCUUGCCUGCAUCUAUGAAUGGAUGGAGAGAAGUAAAGCUUGUCCCUUCUGUUCCAAGAAAAUGCUUUUCUUGGAGGGUGAAAUUACAGAUCAGCUGGAAUAACGAGAAGAGAUAUCCUUGGAUUCUUUGCGGCUGAAAUUUUUCUUUGUAAACAAUUAUUUCUUAAUUUAUGUUGUAACUAUUCUUUUAUAUUCUUUGGAACUUCCACCAGAUUCUUUGUUGGCUUGUUACCUGAUGUUUUAUGGAUAUGGGAUACAAUCCAUUUGCGAUAAAGGCUAGGAGUUGGGGAAAA